ACAACCCGUGACGUCACUAGCAACAACAUUAUUGUCCGUCUGCUCAGCUGCGCUUCCUCCUGACAUGCUGAAUGAUGCAUUAACCAAACUUGUAACGUUAGUUCAUACAUUAACAAAAUAAAAUAGCUGGAACGUACUACAGUCGGCUGGACAUGAUGCGACGAAUUACGCGCGCCUAAAGGAUAUUUAUUUCGGUUCGCGGUUCAUAGUCUCAAUCAGAUGUAAUGAGCUCGAUGCUAACAGUGCGAGGAUUUUAUGAUCGGGAUCUUUAUGAUUUUAUUAUGAGUGACUAGCCGUGAAAGUGUGAAGUGCAACAAUUACUGUGAAUUUUUAAACUGAGUUCCCAGAAUGCUCAUGUGUGGACUUAGUAGUCAGUAAGAAAUAAAAUAUUUGAGAUAGAAAUCAGUCAUGAUCACGGUUGUCUCUGUGCAUUCAGCGAUCAUUUCAUCUCUAUAAGAACGAGCUCGAGUAGAUCAGAUACAGGAUGACGGACACGCUGGUCCUCUCCUUCCAGACUCGGCUGUCUGGGGUCAUGGAAAAUAUUCUCAAAACCACCAUGUACGAGAUCACCAGGUUAGUGGAAGAGAGCUUCUUGGAGCAGAUGGAUCGAGGCAAACGAGAGGCGGAGGUGUUAAAACGGAGGCUGAUAGUGUCGGAAGCCAAACUGAGAGAACGGGAGAGAUUUAAGAGAGUGAGGUGUGUGGACUGUGGGCGGACAGCAGUGUCCAGGAGGAGGGUACUACACAGAGGCCCCGAAACACAGAGCAGUUUGGACCAUCCACUUGUUGUAAAGCAGGAAAAUGCUUCUGACAAUAGCUGGAGGUGCAGUCCCAAGGGAAGCACAAAUCAGGAGCCUUCAGCAACUCUGGAAACUAAACAAAAUGCUAUUCAAGUGGGUGAACUUAAACCUGGAGGAGAAGUGAAAGAGGAAGCAACAGAGGCUAGAGAUGUGCAAGCUUGUCUAAUAAUACACUCUCAAUUACACAAACAAAAAGAUCCUCAAAGCAGUGUGGAAGAGACCAAUGGACUCCGCAAUACAGAUUCGGACCACAAACCAGGUGGAACGUCCUGCACUGAAAGACCUGGGGAUGAGGAUGAGGUCAGACACAGAAACCCCCCAAAAUGGUUUGACUCUAAAACAGACCCUUCAGCACGGUCAUCUGUUUCACAGCCAGAACCGGUCAGGACCUCAGUAUCUUCAGAGUCUCCGGGUUUGAGACCGCAGGUAAGCAGCAUAGACUCAGGGCCCGUUAAACAGGAAGUUAUAGUGAUGCUUCCACCAGACUGGGAGGAAAUGGAGAGAAUCAGGCCUCAGAUGGUUUCUGCUCACAACAGUGCUAAGAAGACACCGUUGGAUCUUCAGCCUGGAGAUCCUCUCACGGCUAGACCUCAAAUACAGGAGCGAGUCUCCUAUCCCGCGCCUCCCGUCAAGGUUCAGAGUCUUGCACCACAAGCCAUGCAGCAUCUCAGAUCACCCGUUAGGAAGAACGCAAAAAUUGUUUUACAUCCCAAUGCAGUUGUGACAGAUCACAGCGCCAGUGACGUAAACAGAGCACAAUCCAUCUGCAAAGGCCUUCCUACUCCAAAACCCUCUCAUGUUCGUCAGUACCCUGAAGGAGCGGCUACAGGUGAAAGAAAUUUUAGUACCGUACAUCCAGGAAGAAGCCUGCCGCAGAUGGUCAGUAUGAGGGUUCAAGGGGACACGCGUCACCAUUCGGCGAGGACGACGCACAAUUGCAACCAGUGUGGAAAAGGCUUCUCUCAUCUGUGUCACCUCAGAGCUCACCAACAGAUUCACACAGGUGAAAGGCAGUUCUGCUGUAACAUCUGUGGACGGAGCUUCACCAAACUGAGUAACCUGAAAGCACACCGCAGGGUUCACACUGGCGAGAGACCAUAUAUCUGCACAGACUGUGGUAAAAGGUUUACCCAGAAAUGCAACUUGAAGAGACAUCAGAGAAUUCACUCUGAAUUCACACACUCCAGUAGUAUAUGACAAGCCGUGGAGCUGUAAUAGUGGUAGAAUCUGUUACAUUACACAUGUUAGUUGAUGUUGUUUCGCUGAAUGGCUAAGUUAUUUUUAAUAUCAUGCAUCAUAUUAAAAGCUACAUUAUGUUCUGAAAAAUUUCUUUUGCAGUGACGUGACUGGAUCACUCAGGGGAAAAUGCAGAUUGUAUCGUAUUAUAUUAAAGCACAGGACUUAUCCGCUCACUUUGGAUGUUACAGGCUAUUAAUGUAGGUGAGUUGGUCUCACAAAUUAAUGUCCAAAUAAAUAAAUGCUUUGUUUCACCCUAAAAUCAAAAUAAAUGCAAUUAUAUUUACAAUAAAGACCUAAAAAAAAGCUUGUUUUAGGACCUUAAAGAUUGUUAUUCAUUAUUUGUAUGUCAGAUUUAAGCAAAUUUGCAUACAUUUUUAAAGUGUUUUUAUUUAAAUCAGUAUAAAUUAAACAAAAAAAAUGCAACCAUGGUGUAUACUUGUAAUCGUACACAUGUACAUUACAAUUUAAAGUAUGUAUAUACAGUAUCUCACAGAAGUGAUUACACCCCUCACAUUUUUGUAAAUAUUUUAUUAUAUCUUUUCAUGUGACAACACUGAAGAAAUGACACUUUGCUACAAUGUAAAGUAGUGAGUGUACAGCCUGUAUAACAGUGUAAAUUUGCUGUCCCCUCAAAAUAACUCAACACACAGCCAAUAAUGUCUAAACCGCUGGCCACAAAAGUGAGUACAACCCUAAGUGAAAAUGUCCAAAUUGGGCCCAAAGUGUCAAUAUUUUGUGUGGCCACCAUUAUUUUCCAGCACUGCCUUAACCCUCUUGGGCAUGGAGUUCGGAGCUGCUGGAUGUUAGAGACCUUGUGCUCCUCCACCUUCCAUUUGAGGAUGCCCCACAGAUGCUCAAUAGGGUUUAGGUACCCUCAGCUUCUUUAGCAAGGCAGUGGUCAUCUUGGAGGUGUGUUUGGGGUCGUUAUCAUGUUGGAAUACUGCCCUGCGGCCCAGUCUCUGAAGGAAGGGGAUCAUGCUCUGCUUCAGUAUGUCACAGUACAUGUUGGCAUUCAUGGUUCCCUCAAUGAAUUGUAGCUCCUCAGUGAUGGCAGCACUCAUGCAGCCCAGACCAUGACACUCCCACCACCAUGCUUGACUGUAGGCAAGGCACACAUGUCUUUGUACUCCUCACCUGAUUGCCGCCACACACGCUUGACACCAUCCAAACCAAAUAAGUUUAUCUUGGUCUCAUCAGACCACAGGACAUGGUUCCAGUAAUCCAUGUCCUUAGUCUGCUUGUCUUCAGCAAACUGUUUGCAGGCUUUCUUGUGCAUCAUCUUUAGAAAAGGCUUCCUUCUGGGACGACAGCCAUGCAGACCAAUUUGAUGCAGUGUGCGGCGUAUGGUCUGAGCACUGACAGGCUGACCCCCCCACCCCUUCAACCUCUACAGCAAUGCUGGCAGCACUCAUACGUCUAUUUCCCAAACACAACCUCUGGAUAUGACACUGAGCAUGUGCACUCAACUUCUUUGGUCGACCACAGCGAGGCCUGUUCUGAGUGGAACCUGUCCUGUUAAACCGCUGUAUGGUCUUGGCCACCAUGCUGCAGCUCAGUUUCAGGGUCUUGGCAAUCUUCUUAUAGCCUACGCCAUCUUUAUGUAGAGCAACAAUUCUUUUUUUCAGAUCCUCAGAGAGUUCUUUGCCAUGAGGUGCCAUGUUGAACUUCCAGUGACCAGUAUGAGAGAGUGAGAGUGAUAACACCAAAUUUAACACACCUGCUCCCCAUUCACACCUGAAACCUUGUAACACUAACGAGUCACAUGACACCGGGGAGAGAAAUUGGCUAAUUGGGCCCAAUUUGGACAUUUUCACUUAAGGGUGUACUCACUUCUGUGGCCAGCGGUUUAGACAUUAAUGGCUGUGUGUUGAGUUAUUUUGAGGGGCCAGCAAAUUUACACUGUUAUACAAGCUGUACACUCACUACUUUACAUUGUAGCAAAGUGUCAUUUCUUCAGUGUAGUCACAUGAAAAGAUAUAAUAAAAUAUUUACAAAAAUGUGAGGGGUGAACUUACUUCUGUGAGUUUUAUAUAUAUAUAUAUAUAUAUAUAUAUAUAUACACACACACACACACACACACACACACACACAACCAUUCAGAAGAAUGGGGUCAGUAAGAUUUAUUUAGUUAUUUAUUUUUUUAAGAAAUUAAUACUUUUUUUUCUAGCAUGGACUCUUUAUAUAUAUAUAUAUAUUUUAAUUAUGGUUUCCACAAAAAUAUUAAGCAGCAUAAUUGUAUUCAGCAUUGAUAAUAAGAAAUGUUUCUUGAGCACCAAAUCAUCAUAUUAGAAUGAUUUCUGUAGGAUCAUGUGACACUGAAGACUGGAGUAAUGAUGCUGAAAAAUUUAGCUUUACCAUCACAGGAAUAAAUUACAUUUAAACAUAUUAAUAUAGAGCAUAAGAGACUUUUUUCAAAAAAAAAAAAAAAAAAAAAAUCUUGCAGACCCAAACUUUUGAAUGGUGGUGUAUUAACAGUAUUUUAUUAUUAUUAUUAUUAAUUUUAUCACAGUAGGCUCAGGAGGGAUGUACUUAAUUGUAUUGUAAUUGUAAUGGUCUUUAAAAUAGGCUUCAGUUUCUAUAUGCAAAAAAUUUGAUUUUUAUUCAUCUUUUUCUUUUGAUUUUGGGGUGAAAUAUGACCCGGACAGUUUCACCCAUGCUUUGGAAAUUUUCUCUGUUUGUUUAAAGUAUUUAAUUUACUUCCAAAAAUUCACUUCUUUAAUUCACUUUUUAAAAGCCUUGAUGAAUAAAACACAUCUACUCAAUAUUAUACUGUUAAAUCAGAUCCCUUUGAUUUGUUAGUAUAUUCAGAUGUGUAGCAUUAGCUCUUUCAAAUGGUGCAUAUACUCACUAUUGCAACAGCAUUACUGUUUUUUUUUGUUUUGUUUUGUUUUUUUUAUAUAAGAUAGCCAGUAAACUUUGCAGAACAAAUUGAUGUGCAUUUGCUGCUGUGGGCUGAAAUGGUUACAUGUUCACAUUUAGAUUUAGAUGUCAGUGCCGAUGUUGUAGGUUCAGACAUAUGCAGGAGUUUUCAGAUGACUAGGCCUAUUUUAAAAUGUAGCGACAUGUUGCAUGGCUCCAGUAUUCUUUAGAGUGUAAACAAAGAGUGACAGUGUAGCUGGUACAUUCAUGCCACCAUCCCAUCUGUUUAGUAGUUUUAUAUCUUUUGCUGAUUAAAUGCCACACACUGUGUUAAAUUACACGCUGAUUAAACUCUUCCAGUAAUGCAUGCAAACAGAUUAUUGGUGAUUCAGGUACACAGUAAGCCAUGUACAUUACAGGCUCUAUGACUGUAAUUAAAAUUACUUUCUUCUUUUUUCUGUGAAAAUUACAAAUCUGAAUAAUGAUGUUACAUUUGCAAUGGACCAAAUGGCUAAAGUGCAGGAAGUUCAUGUCUCUAUUUCUGUCAUAUGUUGUUUUUGUAAUGUUCAUUUCAACAAAAUUAAAUAGUUCUCCAGCUCUUUGGUAGAGUACUAACAUAUACAGUAUGUGCAUGUGUAUUGUGUUGUUCUCAUUUAGUCUUUUUUGAUAACCGACACAUUUUGCUUUCCUAUUGCACUUUAAAGCAAUACUCCACAAUUACAGCAGAUGAUACAAAACUUUAGGCCUGUGUAGGGCAAGAUGUGGCACUUAAGAUGUGUCCAUAAAAUUUUUUUAACAGAAGUAAAACUGAUACACUACAUUAUAUUUUAGAAAACCUUCUAGCAACUGUAUUUCUAUCAACGAUAUAAAUAUGACUCAAACUGUUUUUCUGAAAAAACAUUGGUCCAGUGAAACAACUUGUCCUAUGCCACCCUCUGGUGGUCUUCAGUCAUUUUUGACUGAAUUUUUAUUUAUUUAUUUAUUUUUACCUCAUCUGAAUGGCACAAAACUUGGUGACUUUUGGUGGCACUUGCUAUAUGAACACCAAAAAGAAAGAAAAAAUCAUGGAGAUGAUUAGAAAAGUCUAAACCGUCUUUACAAAAAUAGUGAUAAAAAAAAAAGGCCACCGGAAAUGAAUGCGAAAUACAAAAACAAACAAAAGUACAAAGCAUUUUUUUUGUGGUAUACACUCUACAAAUCAUCCAUCCGUGACGAAGUAGUCUUUUAGCCUAAUAAAAUUGCGUAAUAAUGUCUGAAAAUACUUUAUAUUUAUAUUUAUAUAAGGCCACACGGGCGUAUAGUGAUUGGCAUAUAUGAUUUUCUUUAUUUUUUCCACCAGGUGGCACCAAUUUGCCUUCCAUGCUUUGGAUUUUAAAUAUCUUUGCUUUAUUUUCAACUUAAACACUGUAUUAAUUGAAAAUAAUAUGAAAUAUUUUUUUCUGAUAUUUCUAUUAUUUUAUAUGGAAAUAAAUGGUGCAAAUAUUGAAUAUUGUCUAUUACCAUGAUACACACACAAAACACUAAAGAAUAAGUAUUAUUAAAACAAAAUAUAGUACAUUAAUUUCAUUUUGAAACAAAUGUUACACUUAUUGUUUUGGUCAGUUUAUAAUUUGUAAUAAAUACUGCAAUAUUCCAUUAAAAAUAAGAUUUUUUAUUUCAUGGUGACUUUAAUUACAGUAGACUAAAGUAAAAUAAUGGCUCUUCAUUGAUUAAUAAUUGAUAAAUUCCCUACAGGCAGGUUAUUGUCAUUUUUAUACACUUUUUAAUUUUUUUUUUUUUUUUUUUACACAAAUAUACAAUUUUAUACACGAAUACAUGUGGUUCCCUCAGUACACAUGUAGAGUAGGAUGUGUGGCAUCUUCCAGUCCACUGGAGGGCAGUAACAGGAAACAACCAACAUUUUCUGCAUCCGCUUAGGACGACACUGUCAUCUAACGAUCAUAUUACUGCAGUAAUAACGUCUCUAUUCAUAUUAUUUUGCGGGUUUCCUCUGAGAAAUCCGCUGCGCGAGGAUCGUUUUCAAAAGGGUGGUUAUUUUAAUCAGAGUCGUACAGUGCAUCAGGGUGUCCUCAAGGCGACAGGACGAUGUCUGAAGCCCUUUUCCUCACAUUCCAGUCUCAGCUCUCUGUUGUCAUGGAGACCGUCCUCAAAUCAGCCAUGUUUGAAAUAACCAGGCUGGUGGAAGACAGCUUCCUCGAGGAAGUGGGUCAUCGUAAACAGGAGGUGGAAGUCUUGAAACGAAGGCUGCAGCUGUCUGAAAGUAAACUGAGGGAGAAGGAGAGGGAAUGGGAACGGGGGAGGAAGACUCGGUGCUCAGACUGUGGCCGAAAGGGAGAUUCCAGCAGCAGAGAUGAGAGCCAACAUGUAGAGACAGUCCGGGGAGCAAACACCCUUUGUUUAGGCCUAAGCCUGAAAGAUCAAUCUACCAAUCAGCCUAAACUGACUGAAGAAAUGUGGAGUACAAGACAACGCCUGGAGUCUAACAAACAAACAACAACAACCUCACACUCUAAAGAGAAGAACGAUGUACACAGGCAUAGUGCAAAAGAGAUCAUCACACCUAACUCCAAUGCACCAAUUCCUCAGGAUUUUCUGCAGAGGCUUCUGGGAAAUUCAGCAGUCCAGAGCGAGUCCACUAGUGACUUCAAACCCAAAGUGAAUGAUUUAGACCAAUCCGAAAAGGACUUUACUCUUGAUAAGGAAAUGGACUCAACCCACUCAAGACUGAUACAAAGUCCUUCGGCUCAGGAUGUACACGAGAUUUUGCCAUCAUCUUCACCAAACGAAAGAGUAAAAUCAGAGACAGAGCUGGAUCUUCUACCUGUCAAGGAAGAGGAAGAGAUGGUUCCAGUGUGGGAUAGCGUCAACAGAGAUGACGGUUGCCAUGCAGAAAUGGCUGAUCCGAGUCAGGGAGAGCUCAGAGGAUCUUGUGAUCAGGAGGAGAUACAGGUAGAAAGCUUUCCAGGUCUAAACUCUCUCGACAUGCCAGACGCCACCUCAUAUUUCACACCUUAUUCAGUGAACACAUUGGCACAUCAAGGUAUUAGGGCACAAUAUAGUCAUUUAUGCACAACAGAGCUGAUGCUAUCUAGCGUACCAGAGAGGUCACAUUCAUUUGUCAAACCAGAAAACGAACAAAGUUAUCCUGGUUCAGAAAAUGCUGUCCGCUAUUCUCACAAUGAUGUUUGUCCAGGCGAGAAAACAGUCAGCCAUGAGCAAUACCCAAAGCGUUUCUCUCAGGACAAACAUGGGACGCCGGAACAAAUCCAAGCGGGAAGGUCCCACCAGUGCACGCAAUGUGGGAAAACGUUUGCGAGAGCAUGUGACCUCAAGGCUCAUUCGCAGAUCCACAAGGGCAAGAAACCUCUGAGCUGUUCGCAGUGUGAUCAGACGUUUGCGUACAACUUUGAGCUCAAGGUUCACCAGCGAAACCACUCAGGAGAGCGACCUCACGUCUGUCCGCACUGUGGCAAGGCCUUCGCUCGGAUGAGCAACUUCAGGCAGCAUCAGAACAUCCACACGCGGGAGAAACUCUUCAGCUGCACUCAAUGCGGGAUGCGAUUCAAUCGAGCCACCAACCUGCGAGUUCAUAUCAGACGACACAGCCACGCGGGGAAGUCUUGCAAUUGCCCUUAUUGUGGAAAGUGCUAUCUGAAUCCCAGGCAAAUGAAGACUCAUUUAUUGAAAGCCCAUGGAAGAGGAGGGAAAUAAAUGUAUCCAAUUUUCACUCCUUUUUUGAUCAAUUCAUGUUUACAUAUUAUAAAUGGUCUGCACUGUUAGAACUCAAGAAGACACCAAAGGACCCGCUGUCCCGUUUUUGCCACCUUAAAGACAACUAAACAACUGAACAGGACCUGGACAAAUUAUGCAUGAAAUCAUUUUAAACAGUACCUUUGCAUUACAGAAAGACAAGGAAACUUAGGUUUCCUUAUAGUCCUAAUACAUGCAUAUAGAAAUUGAAAUUACAGAUUUACUCCUAAAGGAAUUUUGCUGUUGUGCGAUUAAUGUGUAAUAGCUGGUAUAGAUUAUGUAUUUGAUGUUUUUAUGUAUUCCCUCCGACAAUGGUAAAGAUGCAAUAUACAGCAUAUACUCUUUCCUGAGAAUGUUUGUGGAUGUUUUUAACUUUAGAAUUUAUAAUUUCACUAAAAAGAUACCCUGGCCUUUACUUAAAUUGUGAUAUGUCCCUGUUCUUUGAAAUUUCAUGGCAUUUUGUUGGAAAAAAUAAAUGAACCAUCAGAUGUAGCGACUGGUAGCACCUCUAUCCCACCUCAGUCCCACCUCAGCAAGUCAGUUAGUCCAAACAUGCUCCAUUUCCUCUACUUCAGUCUUCCAUUCAGACUUCAAGUCUUCUUUUCAGUGUGUUUUAUUUUUUAUUUAUUUAUUUGCUGUGGAUUGAUGAACACUGAUGUUGGACAAUGCAAGACCUCCAUUUCCACAAGAGUUCUGUGAUCUCCUGCAGCAUUGUGUCUUGAUGCCUGCCUCUCCUGGAGUGAUUGUAAUCGGACAACCAUUAACCCCUACAUACAGAUUGGCCGAAGUUUUGCAGAUCACUCUUCCACGGAACAAGGAAAUUCACACCCCAUAAACAAGCAGAGAACUUUCAGUGUUGUGGCCAGGGAGAUCCUGACUCAGUUUCAGGUGUGGCAGAGGGCUUGCUAUAGCAGGAACAUUGAGUGGGGCCCGAUUACAGCAAAGAUCAUAUCUGCACUGCCGCAGUUGUAUGGACGGGAGGCAGAGGUGAUUGUAAGAUGUACUAAGAUGCUACACAACCGCAGAGAUUACCUUCGAAGGAGAGCAAAGAUGCAUAUUACUGUCCUUAAAAAAGGAGAAGGUCCCUGCAUCUCUAAGUGCACUCAGUGUUGUGACAAGUAUCACUGCCCAUUUUGUGAGACCUGGGUCUACAAGCCAAGAGAGUUAGGGAGCGUUGUUAACCACGUCAAGAAUCAUCUGAAGUUGGCCGUCCAGCUUCAUGAUUUCAGUAUUGUCAAGUGUAACUUAAAAUGCAGGCAAAAUGCACAUUUUCAUUGCUGCUACUGCUCUGCCACCGUUGUGCGGAAAGUACAAUUACAUAUUCAUCUCUCAAAAUGCAUCCAGAAGUUAACUGCUGAGCAGGAAUUUGAAGAAGAUUACUCACUUGAUGGAAGUCCUAAACAUGAGUAGUUUUUUUUUUUUCUUGUAAUAUCUUUCAUUUCAGCUAUUUUUUCCCUAGUUCUUAGAUUGUUUCACAAGUUCUUGGUUCCCUGUUAGUUAGAAGUUAUUCAGAAUUGUAGUAUUUGAUGGAUGAAGCUUUAUGGAAAUAAAUUAAAUUUUUCAGUUCAAUUCACAUUUAUUUGUAUAGCGCUUUUCACAAUACAUAUCGUGUCAAAGCAGCUUUACAGAAAAUGCAUGUGUCUACAUUACAAUUUAUAGUGAUUUGUUUUCAGAGGUGACUAUGUACAAGUUAUGUAUUUCAGAAUUGUACAUUUACAAAUCAUGCAGUUAGCUGACAAUGUAUUAGUUUAAACAAUGUAUUAAUUCAAAGCAGAAACAAUGAGCUCAAUGAAGUAAAGAAUACAUGAAAUAAACAUUUAUUAAAAAUG